CGGGGCGUGGCGCAGUUCGGUAGCGCACCUGCUUUGGGAGCAGGGGGUCGGGAGUUCGAAUCUCCCCGCCCCGACCA
rnacentral:tRNA from 2 species